rnacentral:SRP_RNA from 13 species
GUGAGGAUGCACUUUCGCUAUGAUGAACAGGCGUCUUGGAGGAGUACGUCGUCCCCUUGGGGACAGGGUGGGAGUGGUCGGGGUGACGGAACGCUUCCAAAGGAGCAGGGAGAGACAGGACUGAA